AACGAACGCUGGCGGCAUGCCUAACACAUGCAAGUCGAACGAGACCUUCGGGUCUAGUGGCGCACGGGUGCGUAACGCGUGGGAACCUGCCCUUAGGUUCGGAAUAACUCCCCGAAAGGGGUGCUAAUACCGGAUAAGGUCUUCGGACCAAAGAUUUAUCGCCUUGGGAUGGGCCCGCGUUGGAUUAGCUAGUUGGUAGGGUAAAAGCCUACCAAGGCGACGAUCCAUAGCUGGUCUGAGAGGAUGAUCAGCCACACUGGGACUGAGACACGGCCCAGACUCCUACGGGAGGCAGCAGUGGGGAAUAUUGGACAAUGGGCGAAAGCCUGAUCCAGCAAUGCCGCGUGAGUGAUGAAGGCCUUAGGGUUGUAAAGCUCUUUUACCCGGGAUGAUAAUGACAGUACCGGGAGAAUAAGCUCCGGCUAACUCCGUG
rnacentral:rRNA from 1 species